GGGGAAUAUUGCACAAUGGGCGCAAGCCUGAUGCAGCCAUGCCGCGUGUAUGAAGAAGGCCUUCGGGUUGUAAAGUACUUUCAGCGGGGAGGAAGGGAGUAAAGUUAAUACCUUUGCUCAUUGACGUACCCGCAGAGAGCCGAUGCGUCUUC
rnacentral:rRNA from 1 species